UGGAAGAUCCAUUCCAGUGGUCUUUCCUGAGCUAGCCCAUAACACAGACAUUGCUGUGACUACUGCAACGGAAGGAGUGAUGCUGAUGGAGAACCCAGGAUGAAUCCCACCCUGCACUGCUCCCAUCUCACUGCAAACCAAAAAACUGGUGAUCAUAGCCCAAAAGGAUGCUGGUUCAUGGCCCUCUACAAUCAAUGAAAAACAGGCAUUUCCACUUGGCAGCUCAGGACCACUGGACACAUAAGCAAGCAUAGGAAACAAGUAGGAAAACAAUAACCAAUAUCUGGGUCUGCAGACCCAGACCAUAGGUGCACAGUAUUUUGAAGGGAGAAGGUUCAAGAGCAUCUACAGAGGUACCGAGAAAGACAGUAGCCUGAUGCUUGAGACAGCAACUUGAAAUCAUGAUUGUUCUGCUUCAGCAUAGGUUUUUGGGACUGCGUUACUUUGCAGGGUAUGUAUGCUGGGAAGUGGGCUACAGUAGUGUAGUCAGAUAAAUUAGAGAAACUGAAAAGGGAAUCCCUAGCAUCACGAGUUAACAGAAACAUGAGACAUACAGUGGUACACCCUCCAUGGCUUCAAGGAGGAGGAGAUGGUUAUUAUAAACUCAUGAAGAACUGAAGACUGCAGAUCUUCACACUGAUACUUCUCACUAGUUGCACAAGCAGCCCUAGGAAAAGCAGAAGAGAGAGAAGUGGAAGGAUUUCUUUUGCUGCAUUUGAUUUAUUACUGUUUAAAAAUACAAAUCUCAGAGGAACAUCAGGCUGUUCCUAUACUGCUGCCUGAAGCAAGGUGCUAAAGAGUUCACUGAAACUCCUAGCAGGAAGCAGGUGGGACACAAGGAAGAGCCACUGGGUAGGCAGUAACAGGAAGCCACACACUGUACCAGGCCAACAGAGCUCCAAAUGAGGUUUGGCUGUGCCACAGGCUUAAUGCGGCUCCCACUGCAGCAAGGAAAUCAGGUGAAGGUGUUCUGACAAGGAAGCAUUAUUAACUGAUCUAGUUACCAAAGAAAUAUUUAAACUAAAUGCCUGUCUUGUUGGCCAUACUCUCAAUACAUCACAGCACAGUUAAGAUGGCAAGGGCACCUGAGGAGAUACUUUGCAGCAUUGGCCAUAUUUUUGGGGAUCAGCUGAUGAAGACUCACAGUCCUUCCUGCAGUCCUUACUGACAGGAGCAGUGCCUUGCCCUACAGCUAUAACCACUGGCUGGCCAAAACUCUGUAACUCUAUGCAUCCAUUUCUUCCCUCUCCAUAAAAGCUACAGUUGUGCCUGUCCUGUACCAAUUACAGGGGCCACAGACCUGGCAAUAGGCUGGAUAUCAUCUUUGAAACCUACUGCCAGCUUCAGAGGGGGCAGAACUUCCUCCAGCAGUGAGCUGAGUAGACUCUAACCAGCCAAAGCAGAUCCCUGUCUUGAUUGGAAAUCUUUAACUGAGGGGUAUGUUAUUUUCUUCAUUCUGCAUUUGCUUCCAAGGCAAAUUCUCCAUGAAAUUACUUCCAACUUGAAUUUUGUUUCAGCUUCCAGCCAUGGAAGUCUGAAAUACUGUUUCUACCACCUAAUGGAUGUUAGCCAAUUUAAAACACAAUUAAUGUCCUUGGUCAUAAAGGCAGAUCUCUACUGAUGGCUUGAAGCAUCAAUAAUGAAUGCUGAUUGUACUGACUUGUCAUUGAUCUUUCUGAAAAUUCUAUCUUUGCAAACUUGAAGUCCUGAAGAAGUCUUUGUGCAGUAUGUAUAAAUAAGACUUUAAUCCAGCAUCUUUAUUCCACACUCUUUUGUUUUGGUGGAGGACUCGGGGCCCUGUGGGAAAUGCAAGAAAACAUAUCUGAUUCUCUUUACAGGAUCUUGUAACAAGACAGAGAACACAGCUCAGAUGCAAAACAUAUUGAUCUAGACACAAACUCUUCCAAGAAGGAUCUGCAAUUUCAAUCUUUAAGCUCCUUCUGCAGAAUUGUUCCUCUUCUGAUGGUGCCCCUUUAACCAAACUACUCAACUUCUCCUUCCUUUAAAACUUCCUUUUAAGAUGUUUCCUCCACACAGCAUUCUUUUGUGAAAAUCUCUGCAGAGAUCACAAGGCACAGAGAGGUGCCUUGUAAUGCUUGUCACAAGAAAUUCCUCAAUAAACAAGUCAGUAUAGAUUCUGUGGCAGAUUUUCUUUAUGGCAUUCUCACUUCAAAUGCCAGAUGUACUGAAGCUUUCAUAUUUCCAUCUAUAUUAAACAGAACCAUCAAAGCUGGAUACAAUAUUUCUUCAUUUCUGAUCUUUCCCCAAGUUUUGUAAAAUACCACUUUUUUACCGUUACUAACCUUAAUGCGAUGUCUUGCAAAAGGCACUGAAUGGCAAGGAAUGAGAAAAAGGGCUUAAGUUAGCAGACUCAAGGCUGAGAAGGACUCUCAGUGCAUAGUAAUACAUCUGCCUCCAGAUGUCUGGCAAAGGGAACGGGAAUAUUAAGCUCAGCCUGUAAAAGGACACAAAAGGAUUGCUAUAAUGGUAGCAUCUCAGGCUGUCUGGUCUUGUGGGACCUUGAUAAACCUUUCCUUGAGCCUGGUCAGCUCUAUGCAGUACCACAAGGAGAUUUUCUCACAUCAAGUUCCUGAAGAACUUACAUGAAACAGCAAUUCACAUGGCUUACCCUGUCUCUUUGAUAGGCACACUGUCUCUGACUUGUUCAGUAUUGACUUAUUUCAUUGCCUAGAUGUAGA